UACGAAGGGGGCUAGCGUUGUUCGGAAUUACUGGGCGUAAAGGGCGCGUAGGCGGUGCAUCAAGUCAGGCGUGAAAGCCCCGGGCUCAACCUGGGAACGGCGCUUGAGACUGGUGCGCUCGAGUUCGGGAGAGGAUGGUGGAAUUCCCAGUGUAGAGGUGAAAUUCGUAGAUAUUGGGAAGAACACCGAUGGCGAAGGCAGCCAUCUGGACCGACACUGACGCUCAUGCACGAAAGCGUGGGGAGCAAACAGG
rnacentral:rRNA from 1 species